UACGUAGGGGGCAAGCGUUGUCCGGAAUCAUUGGGCGUAAAGCGCGCGUAGGCGGCCCGGUAAGUCCGCUGUGAAAGUCAAAGGCUCAACCUUUGAAAGCCGGUGGAUACUGCCGGGCUAGAGUCCGGAAGAGGCGAGUGGAAUUCCUGGUGUAGCGGUGGAAUGCGCAGAUAUCAGGAGGAACACCGAUAGCGAAGGCAGCUCGCUGGGACGGUACUGACGCUGAGGCGCGAAAGCGUGGGGAGCGAACAGG
rnacentral:rRNA from 1 species